rnacentral:rRNA from 1 species
UUCGCAAUGCCCGAAAGGGUGACGAAGCGACGCCGCGUGUGGGAAGAAGGCCUUCGGGUUGUAAACCGCUGUUGGGAGUUAGGAAAUGUGGAGGUGUUAAUAGCGCUUCCACUUGACUAAAGCUCCAGAGGAAGCCACGGCUAACUCUGUGCCGGCAGCCGCGGUAAUACAGAGGCGGCAAGCGUUGUUCGGAAUUAUUGGGCGUAAAGAGCACGUAGGCGGCUCUGCAAGUCAGCUGUGAAAGCCUUCUGCUUAACGGAAGAACAGCAGUUGAAACUACAGGGCUUGAGUGCGGGAGGGGAGAGUGGAACUUCUGGUGGAGCGGUGAAAUGCGUAGAUAUCAGAAGGAACGCCGGCGGCGAAAGCGGCUCUCUGGUCCGUAACUGACGCUGAGUGUGCGAAAGCUAGGGGAGCAAACGGGAUUAGAUACCCCGGUAGUCCUAGCCGUAAACGAUGGGCACUAAGUAGAGGGGUUUU